AAACUUCAACUACAUGACUCAAGAAAAGGACAGAGGAACUGCGCAGCAAUGUUCUCCCAGCAGCUUGACGUCAUUCUGCAUUGGUUGGAGUGAGAUUGGACAGAGCGUGGCUGAAGCUGACAGGAAAGAGAUUAUGCAGGACUGACCAAAAUUCACAACGAGAAGGGGGUUGCCUACUACAAUGGGAAUUUCUCCAGACAAGUGGUGAAACUUUGGAUUUGGAACUGACAUUUUAUGUCAAUAAGCAGGUCUAAGGAGAACUUCCUUGGGAAGCAACCAAGAAUUGUCUUGAGACAAUAACAUUCCAGAAUUAGGUUUUGGGAGAGAGUGUCAAAAUCUCAUUCUAAUGGCUGAACAAUUUUAUCUGGGAAGAGAUGUGGCCAACUUUCUAGGGCUGACUUUGAUCCAGUAGAACAUGUCUUUUACAAGCAUUUACUUUACCAACUGGGAGCUCAGUACCCUCCCCUGUGAAAAACACCCAGGCAAGUGGGAUUCCAUUCAGCUUGGCUCCUAAAAAGAUCCUUAUUGGUGCUUGUGCCUGUACUACUAAGAGAGUUGUGGAAACCUUGGAAUGUGCCCAGAGUAGAGCAAUGGAAAUGAUUGGGAAAGAGGAUCUAUGAGAAAAGGCUCAAAGAAUUGAUAUGGGUGUAGAAAUAAAAUUGUGUGGAAUUACAGAUAAACUAUUUCAGGAGUAUGAAGUUAAACAAACAAGAGAAGAUGAAGGAGGAAAAGAAGAAGAUGGAGGAGGACAAAGUUUUCAGAAGUGCUUAUUAGAGCUAUUACAUGCCAAAUAUCUACUCUGUGGGAAAAGCAAAUUUCACAUUUUUAUCAACUCUGUAUUCACACAUCUGAUC
rnacentral:lncRNA from 1 species